rnacentral:rRNA from 1 species
AUUGAACGCUGGCGGAAUGCUUUACACAUGCAAGUCGAACGGCAGCACGGACUUCGGUCUGGUGGCGAGUGGCGAACGGGUGAGUAAUAUAUCGGAACGUGCCCAGUCGUGGGGGAUAACGUAGUGAAAAUUACGCUAAUACCGCAUACGAUCUAUGGAUGAAAGCGGGGGAUCGCAAGACCUCGCGCGAUUGGAGCGGCCGAUAUCAGAUUAGGUAGUUGGUGAGGUAAAGGCUCACCAAGCCGACGAUCUGUAGCUGGUCUGAGAGGACGGCCAGCCACACUGGAACUGAGACACGGUCCAGACUCCUACGGGAGGCAGCAGUGGGGAAUUUUGGACAAUGGACGCAAGUCUGAUCCAGCCAUUCCGCGUGCAGGACGAAGGCCUUCGGGUUGUAAACUGCUUUUGUACAGAACGAAAAGGUCUCUAUUAAUACUAGGGGCUCAUGACGGUACUGUAAGAAUAAGCACCGGCUAACUACGUGCCAGCCGCCGCAGUAAAAC